CAGGUCACUCCUACGGGAGGCAGCAGUGGGGAAUAUUGGACAAUGGGGGCAACCCUGAUCCAGCAAUGCCGCGUGAGUGAUGAAGGCCUUCGGGUUGUAAAGCUCUUUUGGCGGGGACGAUGAUGACGGUACCUGAGGAAUAAGCACCGGCUAACUUCGUGCCAGCAGCCGCGGUAAUACGAAGGGUGCAAGCGUUAAUCGGAAUUACUGGGCGUAAAGCGUGCGUAGGCGGUGAGUUAAGUCUGUUGUGAAAUCCCCGGGCUCAACCUGGGAAUGGCAAUGGAUACUGGCUCGCUAGAGUGUGAUAGAGGAUGGUGGAAUUCCCGGUGUAGCGGUGAAAUGCGUAGAGAUCGGGAGGAACAUCAGUGGCGAAGGCGGCCAUCUGGAUCAACACUGACGCUGAGGCACGAAAGCGUGGGGAGCAAACAGGAUUAGAUACCCUGGUAGUCCACGCCCUAAACGAUGCGAACUGGAUGUUGGUCUCAACUCGGAGAUCAGUGUCGAAGCUAACGCGUUAAGUUCGCCGCCUGGGGAGUACGGUCGCAAGACUGAAACUCAAAGGAAUUGACG
rnacentral:rRNA from 1 species